UCCUCUUUUUUCUUCAUUUCCCUCAUUCUUGUUUCUCUCAAUUUCAAUUUUCAUGGCCUUUGAAAAAUACUCCACCGCCUUCGUCUUUAAUUUCUCACCACUAUAAAUCUUUUCCCCCUCUUCUGGUUUGAUAAGAACCAAACAAAAAAAGAACAAGAGAAACCAAAAUCUUCUUUGUGAAAUUCUUUGUGAGAAUGUGAAGAGCAAAAUACUUAGUGUGUUGUGAGUAAUUCUUAGUGAAGCCUAAGUGAUCUUUGUGGGUCUUAGUGUCUUUGUAUUUUGGUGGCUUUGUGGGUUUCUUGCAACCGUGAGGGUUGCUGAUCGGUGGUAGAGCUUGGGCAUUCGAUUGCCGGAUUUGGCUCCUGAGCCAUUGAUUCUAUUGCUUUCAUAUUGUAUUGUUGUAUAAGGGUUUUACAAACCCAUCAUUAUUUCUUGUAAUUGUUGAUUAUUUGGGCUCAUCACCUUGGAAUAAAUUCCCAACAGUAGUAUCAGAUCCUCAUCUCUGAUUCUUCGCUUCGGUGGUGGUACCGCAUAGGUGUUAUGGCAAUUAUGAAUGCCAAAUUCGGCCCUUGGGCCUUGCUCUUUGUUGGGCCUUGGUCCAAGGGGGCAAAUGUUGAAUUUUGGCCCACGGCCCAACUUACCAAAACCCCGCAGCCCACUUUGCUGCCGGCCCAUGACCCGUUGAUCCAACCCACAAACCUGACCCAUGAUCUUCUUAACCCUAAAACCCCCUUUUCUCCCUCAUUUGCAUCGAUCGGUUUCUCCCUCUUUAUUCUUCAUUUCCCUCAUUUUUAUUUCUCUCAAUUUCAAUUUCAAUGGUUUUUGGAAAAUACUCCACCGCCUUCGUCUUUAAUUUCUCACCACUAUAAAUAUUUUCCCUCUCUUCUGGUUUGAUAAGAACCGAACAAAAAAAGAACAAGAGAAACCAAAAUCUUCUUUGUGAAAUUCUUUGUGAGAACAUCUUCUUUGUGAAGAACAAAAUACUUAGUGUGUUGUGAGUAAUUCUUAGUGAAGCCUAAGUGAUCUUUGUGGGUCUUAGUGUCUUUGUGUCUUGGUGGCUUUGUGGGUUUCUUGCAAUCGUGAGAGUUGCCGAUCGGUGGUAGAGCUUGGGCAUUCGAUUGCCGGAUUUGGCUCCUAAGCCAUUUAUUCUAUUGCUUUCAUAUUUUAUUAUUGUAUCUGUUAUUUCAUUAUUGUAUAAGGGUUUUACAAACCCAUCAUUAUUUCU